UUGUGCUUGUUACUCGAUUUGGUGUCAUUACCGUAACCCCUUGUUCUGGAGCAAACUUCGGCUGCUUGGCGACAGAACCAGUUCGAACUUACAUUCGUUGAUGUUUGUGUUGGAAGGAGGACCCAUGACGUUUUAAUUGGAGAAAAAUGUCAACCCCAUAUGAGAAAUGGUUUCAGAACUUACAAGAAAAACUGAAAGUCAGUCAGUUUAAAUCAGCACAAGAAAAUGGCCCAUCAGAUACCACCAGCAAUACCGUCUCGUCCUGCCUAGAAAGUACA